ACAAGCGUCGGCAGCGCAUACUAGUGUGUACUUGUACGUAGGCGCCACAUCCUGUAUCCACGCACGCGCGCGUGCGCACAGCCUUCACUGAAGAUCACACGCAGUUGACGAAACGAGCGUGGCACGUACUUUGCUUGCUUGCUUGCUUACUUGCCUCGUGUGCUUGUCGAAGCCUUCGGGCAUUCCGUGGAGGGCAGCGGUCAUCGCCGGCGCGACUCAGCACCGUUCCACAUCACUUGUUGCGCACACCUGUAGAUACCCGACACAACCGCGUCAGCAAGGCGUGUGUGUGUGUGUCGGGAGCGGGCGUCUGUGCCCAACGUCACACGAAAAGCGAACGAAGUCGCUCUCCCUUGUACACUUCGAUUUUCCGCGCCUGUGCGCACGCGUGUCGGUGUGCACCUCGACGACCGCGAACUCCCCACGUGCCACCCCUUAGCUCUAGUCAGCCCCCCUCCCCCUUUCCUCCUGUUUUGUGUGUUUCCUUGUGCUUUAUCUGUACUCUUUAGAUCUACAGUGUGCGCUUGCUUCCGUGACGCCGUCUGCUGAGACACGCGCGCUGGCAAGGCAACGUGCAUGCAUACGCCCACAAGCUCCUCUCCUCCUCUUCUCUUGCCCCCCCCUCUGCUUCUCGUCCUCCAAGUAUGUUCGCCGCCACUAGUCCACCCCCCUCCACCUCCUCAUGGCGCCAUCAUAUGCAGGAUCAGGAGGAAGACCUUGUGCGCGAGCUCAUGCAGGCCAGCGACGUGGAUGCCGUACUGGCGCGCAUGGAGGGAGACCAUUUCCGCCACCUGUCUCCCAUCAUGCGCAAGCUGACCUCCUACGACGCCGACGCGUCCGCAGCACCUGCCUUGCCGCGCGCCGGUGCACCGCCGCCACCGCCACCGCCACCAGCACCGGAGCCAUCCGCGCCGCGCACCUACGGCGGCGGUUUCGGCGGCAGCGUGGACUGGGAUGCGCAGUCAUCCUCGUCAAUACUGCAGCCCGCCGACCCCUAUGUGCCGCAGUUGUAUCAGACGGCCUCGCCAGCAUCUACCUCGUUCCACCUCGGUAUGCGCGAUGGUGACGCUGCCGCGUGGGCAUCGCCCACAGCGCGUCAGCCGCCGCCACCACCGCCGAUGCAGACACCGUCAUCGUCUGUGGAUGGUGGUGUCGUGCGUGAUCUACUCGGCGCGUACCGGCGCCCGGCUGGCGGGGCUGCCGCUGCCGCAUCUUACCUUGGUCACGAGACGGAGUCCCGCUAUCAAACGACGAUCGACUCAUGGCUAUGGCCCGACGCUGAGAUGCGGGCUAGGCGCGCCGCGCGCGACGAGGAGCAGCCUGGCGCUGGCCGCCAUGCAAGCCCGUCCGCCGCCUCGCAGCAGCUGCACGUGGACCCUGCUCUCGACCACACCGCUGCUGUGAGCGGCAUGUUGCCGCCUCCAACAGUGAGCAGCUCGUUGCCCGCAAGCGCGGGCCGCUACCACGGUAGUGCUGACGGGCGGUUGCCGCACGUGACGACGCGGGUGACAUCCGCAUCACCGCACCGCCCCUCCGCAUCUCUCGUUGGCGAGGCCACGGGUGACGUUGGUGGGCUCGAGAACGCUGCGCAGUCACGUAUAGCUCGCCAACUGCAGCUGCUGCGCAACUACCGCCAACUGGCCGAGUUGUGCUCGCGCACUGACAACCCGAGCACUGACCUCUUCCGCGCCUUGCCGUCAGAGGAGCUCGCGCGCAUGCAGGUAGAGCAACUCAAGGGGCUGGCGCAGCGAGAGCAAAGUCCCAUCACCGUGAACAACAACUACUACUUCAACGGCAACGGUGAUAGGCAUGGCAGCAGCCGGCACGGCAGCGGCGUCGAUGGCGGACGGUCGCGCGGCAGCAGCGACGAUCAUUUGGGGGUGAUUCACGGCAAGCCAAACACCGGCAUGACGCCGGGCAACGUUCGCUCCAUGUCGGAAGUGCUCACGGGAGACAGCCACCUCCAAGGCGUGACGGGCUACCGCCCAUCCGGGGCCUUCUCGCCGCAGUCACAGAGACCGCCGCCGCUGCAUUCGCCACGCGCCGUGCCCCUUCAAUCGCCGCAGCCGUCUUCCGGGCCGGACUCCCCCGUGGCGACGCCGCCGCUCUCGCAGCGCGGCGGCAACCUCGCCCCGCCCUCGCCGAGCCGCUCCCAGCGCGGCCGCAGCCAUUGUAGUCGAUUGCUCGAUGCUCACUACACCCCGACGGCCACCACCGAAGAAGCCGGAUCGAGCUACGACGAGGGGAACGCUGAGGAUGACGAUGAGGGCGACUACGCCGGCGACUGCAUGGACAACGGCGGCAGCGAGGAAGAGGAGUACGACGACAACGGCACCGGGUACAGACGCCCGCCGCCGCGCAUUAUCGAGCGCGAGCAGCACCGACGCUUUCCCAACCUGAGUAACGGCGACGACGCGUCCCCGUCGAGCGCUGCGGGCGGCACGACACAGCCCCCGCUAGCCCCAACCACCUCCCAGCUGGGGCAUCAGCGUCACAGCAGCUACUCAGGCGACUACGUCAACAGCCAGCCUUUGACGACCAUCAACGAGCACGUCCAGGACGGAAGCAAUAGCGCCCCGCCUCGCAUGCGCAGCGGCUCCGCCAUGUUUGCGGGUGGUGGCGGGCGGAGCAGUAUGGGUGGUGCUCCGGGCAGCGACGGAGGACGAUACAGCGUGUCCAGCGCCAUCAACGUUCUUUCGGGAGAUCAGGAGCUGCGCGCCAACGCACAUCGGCAGAGCGGCGGCGGCGGCAGAAGCAGUCACGAAGACCGCCGCGCCUCUCAGCACCUCGCCGCACCGUCGCCGCGCUCGCUCCAACAGCAGCGGCGCAGCUUAUCGGCUGGUUCCGGUCCGGCGGCGCCACGUGGCGGCAGUGCCUUGACAGAUUCGGAAGUGUCGCCGAGCUAUCUCCCACUGCACGGCCCCCGUCGAGCAAACCGAGAGCUCGAGGGCAGCACGCAAGGCUCGCCUACGUCUGUGAGUCGUCGCGGUGGCAAUACGGAGCGCCGCACGCGUACGACGCCUGCGCCGGAGAAGAGUCCCACCGGGGGAAGCGGUACCAGCGGGGCGACGGCACCCUGCCCUCAAGGCAAUCGCCAGCCCAGGGAGCGUGGUGGCCCAGACGGCAAGUCGUGCUUUCUUUGGAAGGGCGGGACCUGGCGUAGAGGGAGGCGGCGCGGCGCUGACUCGGACGACGACAGCAACAGCGACGACCACGACGUGGACAGCGUGCGCAGUGGAACCUACGGCAGCGGCAGCGAAGAUAGCGCGUGCGAUGCCCCGGGUAAUCCGCAGCUGCAGACACACAGGCCCCCCUCCUCGGCGCAGCGCAAGCGACACACAAGUCGGCGCCACGGCGAGCCGCGUUCUGCCUUGGCUCGUGGAGAGCGCGGCAGCAGCCGCCGUGGUUAUGACGACCACGGCGGUGAUGAUGCACCGACGUCGCGCGGUAAAGUCCGCUUUGGCCGCAAGCACUCCUCUGCCACGACGCGCGCGUACCCGACACAGCGUGGUCGCCGUGCCGGGGGCGACGGCGGCGGUGGUAGUGGUGUUCGGCACCAUGGCACAGACGGCGGUGGCGUGGAUAACGUGUGGUCUGCUGCGUCCUACUCGUGCAGCUACACCACCAGCUCCGACAUUAGCGACUACGUGCCGGGAAGCUACUACAGCCCCAUCCGGUCAGACCGAGGUGGCGGCCGCAGAGGUGCACGUGAUGGCAUGAUUAGCCCGGGCAGGCCUCUUCGUGCAUCUACGCAGCUGCUGCAGACGCACCCGAGCUCGAUUCGCAGUCCUGUUGGUGUGCAAGGUCGUUAUGACCGUGGGGAGCGCGGGGGCGCCACUCAAGCGCUGUACGGCGGGCGCGGCCGUGGCGGGGCCACGCUGGGGCCGCGCCACGUUGGUGUGCCUGGCGCGUCUGCACCCGGGGUAGGCGACGGAAACCGUCAGAGUCUCGGCUCCUCCGGUCGAUAUUCUGCACUAGCAGGAAGCGGCUUGCCUGGAGGUGACCACAGUUCAUACCGCGGCGGCGGUGUUCUCUCUCCCCAACGCGUGGCGUACCAGCAGCAGCAGCGACUGCGCGGCGGUUUGCACCCUGCCGUGGGCGCCGGCGCACGAGGCCCGAACAUGGCCAUGGCCGGUGGCUCUGCCGGGCUGGCGGGUGCCAUGACACGCCUGCCAGAUGGUCGUGUCGUCCCCGUGGCAUCGCCCGAGGCACGCCGGUAUCAGCAGGCAAUGAGCAUGAUGGCGACUGGAGCUCCUGGUGCGCACACAAUAACGCCAAUGAAGAUAGAGCAGCCGAUUCGGUACAACCGCAGCCCCGACGUGUAUCCGACUGGUCUGCCUUAUGCUGCGCGUCUCGGCGGCAGGCCCUCCUCCGUGACUCCCUCGCCCGUUAAAGGCGGUCGUGCAGCGUCGCCGUCUGUGGCUGCGAGCGUUUCCAUGACAGCCCACAGCAACUACGGUGCUGGCGGCAGUAGUCCGCACAUUCAGCCCGGCCUGCUCUACGGCUCCCUCCUUCCCAAGGCCCGUCCUAAGACAGCGAUGGUGGUGAAGGAAGAGCAAGGUCGCUCGCACAGCGUUGACCCGUACGGCGACGCGAGCCACGCGCCGCUGCUCGAUCGUGGCAGCGUAUGCCCCGUGCAGCCGGUCCCCAGCAACGGCAUCCAGCCAUGGCGCCUCGGCAGCGACGACAACUCGGAGGUGGACGCGUUUCCGAUCGCAGGCGUCGCGGUGAAUGGCAGCGCGAGCACCGGUGUGCUGCCACUAGCAUGGAAGUCUAGCGGCUCCGGCCGCGUGGUCAGCCGCACCGGGCACGUCCCCGUCGCACCGCGCGGCAAGCUGUCCUCCCACUACGUCCCACCCGGCUCGCUCAAUCAGCGGAACCAACCGCAGCAGCCGCCGUCGGCGCACCCUCAACAGCAGCAGCCGCGAAGGGCGACAGUGACGAGUGCGAGCUCGCCUGCCGCCACACUGUCGUGCCUGCCCAGUGACGCCACAAGGCCGACCGCCACGGCGGCGAGUGUCAUCAGAAAGUCGUCGCCGCAGAAGCAGCAGCAGCAGCGGUAUCAACCACUGAACCCCACCGACGCUGGGCGGAACGACUCCGUGUUUUCUCUCCAAAGUAGCCGCCCGCGCUACAACGAGGCCCCCACGCCGGCGGAGAUGUACAGCAAAGCCAUUCAGUCGCGCCGCGGCAGUCUCGGCGGCGCCAACGCGCAGCAGCGGUACGUCCCUUUUCCAGAGCCUCUAGAGCCAGCGAAGCGCAGUCGCCGUGAGUCCGUUCUGCCGCAGCAGCAGAGCCCAUCCAACUCGAGCAAGAGAACCGCAGCAGCUCGCAACGCCACCUUGCAGCGCUUUGGUAUCAGGUCACUGCACGGGUAGCAAGCGCAGUGAUUAUCAUACGCAUAGAUCUGUGUCUGCAGGUGUUUAGCUCUCCUCCUGCGCGUAUGUGCUUCGCCUGCUGCUCGUAUUGCGACAAAGGCGUGGUGCUCCUGUGCGAGCCUCGUCUGUCCUCCCCCACCCUCUUUUUCGUUGUUAGACACACA
rnacentral:misc_RNA from 1 species